GUUAAAAAGCAAAACAAACAAACAAACAAAAAAACACACACACAAAAAAACCCCACACUCAUUUCUAUAUGCUAAAUUCUGUAGCAAGAGCUGAAGAGGAGGCCUUCUCCCUCAUGGGAUUUUCUCUCUCCCUUCCUGAUUAGGGUCAAAGGCUCCAGAUGUCAACAACCAAAGGAAGCCGAGGAGAAAGGGCCAGAAAGCCAGCAAGUACAACCUUAGGCAAGUCAUUCCUACUUCAUUCCACCUCUGUUUCUUCAUCUGGAAAACAAGAACUGAGACUUUCACUGGAGAGAAGUUCAAAUGGGGCUUAAAGGACAGGACCAGACACACAGGAGGGUCAAAGGCUCCAGAUGUCAACAACCAAAGGAAGCCGAGGAGAAAGGGCCAGAAAGCCAGCAAGUACAACCUUAGGCAAGUCACUCCUCUUCAUCCUACCUCUGUUUCUUCAUCUGGAAAACAAGAACUGAGACUUUCACUGGGGAGAAGUUCAAAUGGGGCUUCAUUUGAAAGUUCAAAAGGACAGGACCAGACACAUAGGAGAGAGAGACAGAGCACAAGUGGAGGAGGGGCAGAGAGAGA